CUGCACGUUGUGCACAUGUACCCUAGAACUUAAAAGUAUAAUUUAAAAAAAAAGUGUCAUUUCCUUUGAGAAGCCUCCCCUCAUCUCUGUAGCCUGCAUAAGAUACCCCUGCUGUGUUAGAAUGUAAUUUGUCUUACUCCUUUUAAAAUUUUGUAAUUACUUAUUUAGUAGUCUCCCUCAUUAGAUUUUUUUUUUUCUUUUUCAAACGCAGUCUCGUUGCCUUGCCCAGACUGGAGUGCAGUGGAGUGGUCUUGGCUCACUGGAGCCUCCACUUCCUGGGCUUCAGCGAUUCUCCUGCCUCAGCCUCCUGACUAGCUGGAUUACAGGCAUAUGCCACCACACCUGGCUAAUUUUUGUAUUUUUAGUAGAGAUGGGGUUUCACCAUGUUGGCCAAGCCGAUCUUGAAAUCCUGGCCUCAAGAAAUCCACCCGCCUCGGCCUCCCAAAUUGCUGGGAUUACAGGUGUGAGCCACCGUGCCCAACCCCUUGUUAGAUUUAGUAUGAAGUAAUAGGAUUUUGCUUUUUGUGUUACAAAAAUCUAGCUAACUGGGAUGCCUUACCACUUGAUAUAUUCAGAAUGUCUUUUCCCAGCAUUCAUAGCAAGCAACCAUACAUACAUAGUCUCAGGGCAUUUCUCAAGUCUUACUAAUCAAUUUAAAAAACUUGAUUAUUAUCAACCACCAAAAUGAGAGUACUGAGCCACCCAAGCUAGAUGACUUUUCCGUAAUCAUGCUAAUAACUCUAUGCCACAGAAUACAGUAGAAAAAGCAUCGAAUGCAGAGCUAGGAGGCCUUACUUUCCAAUCUCACACUUCAGUAACUGCAUUAACUUCUGGGACAUUCUGUGGCCUCGGUAAAACAAAGAUAUUAAAACCUACCCUACAAGGUUGUUAUUGUGAAGUUAAAGCACUUAACUUAUAAUAAACUUACUUAAGUUACUCGAGUUCUCUUCCUUUCUUUCGAAUGGUUACUUCUCAGCUUAAAAUCAAAUUUCCUGGUCACAAGCCAUUGCUUUUCCUUAAAUACACACUUCUCCAGCCCUUAAAGUCUAACGUGUUCCUUUCCCAAAGAAACAAACAAUGCUGGAUGAAUAGACCAUCCUGCUUUUCUCUUGCUAUGAAACAUACUAUUUGCACACUGGCACGGUGGGAAUUUUAGAUGCAACGUAGCCUGGCUCCCUUUCUUUUUGCUACAGCACAUCUGGGUCAGGCAUCUUGAAUAAGUCCCUUAACAGAAUAUUAUGUCAUCUCACAUGCUUUUGAAUAAUUCACUUGUCAUAACUGAGUGGUAGUUGGCUCUAAUCAACUAAGAGCAAUGACCCACAAAGGUGUUCUAUGCUUAUAAAAAACAGAUUCCACAACCCCAGUGCAAAUAUGCAACUAAGUGUAAGCAGCAGUGUGAUGCAUCCUGAAAUGAGGUGUGUCAGAACAACAGCAGCGUCUAAAUAAUGUUUCACGUAGAUUAACAUGGAAGAGAGCCCUGGAAGAGAAAUACAGGC
rnacentral:lncRNA from 1 species